rnacentral:rRNA from 1 species
AACGAACGCUGGCGGCAGGCUUAACACAUGCAAGUCGAGCGCCCCGCAAGGGGAGCGGCAGACGGGUGAGUAACGCGUGGGAACGUACCCUUUGCUACGGAAUAGCUCCGGGAAACUGGAAUUAAUACCGUAUGUGCCCUACGGGGGAAAGAUUUAUCGGCAAAGGAUCGGCCCGCGUUGGAUUAGCUAGUUGGUGGGGUAAUGGCCUACUAAGGCGACGAUCCAUAGCUGGUCUGAGAGGAUGAUCAGCCACAUUGGGACUGAGACACGGCCCAAACUCCUACGGGAGGCAGCAGUGGGGAAUAUUGGACAAUGGGCGCAAGCCUGAUCCAGCCAUGCCGCGUGAGUGAUGAAGGCCUUAGGGUUGUAAAGCUCUUUCACCGGAGAAGAUAAUGACGGUAUCCGGAGAAGAAGCCCCGGCUAACUUCGUGCCAGCCGCCGCAGUAA